rnacentral:rRNA from 1 species
AACGAACGCUGGCGGCAUGCCUAACACAUGCAAGUCGAACGAUGCCUUCGGGCAUAGUGGCGCACGUGUGCGUAACGCGUGGGAAUCUGCCCUUGGCUUCGGAAUCACAGUUAGAAAUGACUGCUAAUACCGGAUGAUGUCCCCCUGGGAGAUCUUGGGGACCAAAGAUUUAUCGGCCGGGGAUGAGCCCGCGUAGGAUUAGGUAGUUGGUGGGGUAAAGUCCUACCAAGCCGACGAUCCUUAGCUGGUCUGAGAGGAUGAUCAGCCACACUGGGACUGAGACACGGCCCAGAAUCGUACGGGAGGCAGCAGUGGGGAAUAUUGGACAAUGGGGGGAACCCUGAUACAGCAAUGCCGCGGGAGUGAUGAAGGCCGUAGUGUUGUAAAGCUCUUUUACCAGGGAUGAUAAUGACAGUACCUGGAGAAUAAGCUCCGGCUAACUCCGUG